ACCCUGGUAGUCCACGCCGUAAACGAUGUCGACUUGGAGGUUGUGCCCUUGAGGCGUGGCUUCCGGAGCUAACGCGUUAAGUCGACCGCCUGGGGAGUACGGCCGCAAGGUUAAAACUCAAAUGAAUUGACGGGGGCCCGCACAAGCGGUGGAGCAUGUGGUUUAAUUCGAUGCAACGCGAAGAACCUUACCUGGUCUUGACAUCCACAGAACUUUCCAGAGAUGGAUUGGUGCCUUCGGGAACUGUGAGACAGGUGCUGCAUGGCUGUCGUCAGCUCGUGUUGUGAAAUGUUGGGUUAAGUCCCGCAACGAGCGCAACCCUUAUCCUUUGUUGCCAGCGGUCCGGCCGGGAACUCAAAGGAGACUGCCAGUGAUAAACUGGAGGAAGGUGGGGAUGACGUCAAGUCAUCAUGGCCCUUACGACCAGGGCUACACACGUGCUACAAUGGCGCAUACAAAGAGAAGCGACCUCGCGAGAGCAAGCGGACCUCAUAAAGUGCGUCGUAGUCCGGAUUGGAGUCUGCAACUCGACUCCAUGAAGUCGGAAUCGCUAGUAAUCGUGGAUCAGAAUGCCACGGUGAAUACGUUCCCGGGCCUUGUACACACCGCCCGUCACACCAUGGGAGUGGGUUGCAAAAGAAGUAGGUAGCUUAACCUUCGGGAGGGCGCUUACCACUUUGUGAUUCAUGACUGGGGUGAAGUCGUAACAAGGUAACCGUAGGGGAACCUGCGGUUGGAUCACCUCCUU
rnacentral:rRNA from 1 species